GGCGCAGCUCUGCGGGCGGCGGCGGCGGCGGCGGCGGCGACGCGGGGAGGCGCUGGGCUGGCGGCGGGGCCGCCCUCGGCGCGAGGGAGCCGCCGCGCGUGCCGGUGAGCGGGGAGGGCGGGUGGUGGUCUGCCGCGGGCAGCCCGCUCGGCCCCCGCCCGGCCCGCGGGCAGGCGCUGCCUCUCCGGAGCCCUGUCAGCCUCCCGCCGGCCCCCCGUCCGCUCAGGGCCCGCCGGGCCCCCCUCAGCGCCCGUCUCCCGCCCAGAGCCUGCGCGCAGCCGCCGCCCGCCCCCCCCCCCCCCCCCGAGGCGCCCCUUGACCCCGUCCCCGGCGGGCCCUGCCUGCGGUGCCGCCCCGGGCCUCGGGCUGUGCAGAGCCUCGGUGGCUUCGUGAGGAAGGGCGGGGAGUUCGGGGGUGCGCUGAGGUCCGUGCUGGUGGCGGGGCCGCUCCCGCCUCGUCCCGGCGAGAAGCCGCCGUGUCCCGCUGCGGGAGCAGCCUGCGCUUUGCGCCCGGACUUGUCAGCGUCCUUGGGACAAAUUCUUUACGACCAGGUCAUAAAUUUGAGGGAAACAUGUGUGUACAGGUUAAAAAUAACAACUUCGAUUUAUCUUUGGUGACGCUGCCUUUUAAACAGAAGAUAGGGCCUCCUAAAAAUGACAGAAUUUAGCGUAUUUGCCUUGUCUGGUAGCACUUCCCUAAGCAGGCAAGUGGUUUUCGAUAUUAAAUGCGAAACUGAUUAUAUCGUCUUUCAAAGUUAACAGCGUAUUUGCUGAAAUCAGUGCUGUUUCCACAAUAUUGUAUAUUGUUUUCUGCUGAUGCUUAUUUUGUAAUGCUGCUUGAAAUUUCACUUAUGGGAAAUUUGGAGUGCAAGAACAAACUAAUUCAAAAGAGAAACUUUAUUUUAGUCUUGCACAAUAAGUAAGUAUUCCUCAAGUUUUUUGAAUCAUUUGUGCUAUUUUAUAGCCAAAGAAAAUAAUGAUUAGUUGUUAAUUAGAAAUUUGUGGCAUGUGUGGCUGUACAUCUACGCAAAGUUAAUUUUUAAAGCUCGAGAAGUUACAGUGAAUCUCUUGUCCAUUUUCCAUUUAGUUGCUGGGAAUUUAAUCAGAUGUGACAUUUUUGUUUUGCAUUUUACUGGUUAGAUUUACUGCCGUUUGGUAACCUACUCAGAGGAUUGUGUGGGUGGUGCUCUGGAAUCAGCCACAACUUCCCUGCUUGAUCUUACUCCAGUAGUUUGAAAUUUAGCUGUAAUAGACACAGUUGUUUUUCUAAUUCACAUCUGGAUCCUUUAAUACUCUUAUUACACAUGCGGUGAAUAUUCUUAAGCAUACUUUGGUGAGAUGUGGAGUGCUUUUGCUUGGAAUCUUGUCACAUGUAGAAAAUAUAAGACUAGUAAAUAUUUUGCUAUAUCCUCCAUUCCCACAAGAGAACGGGCAGACUUUAUAAGUUUUUUUUUUUUAAUGUUAUAUGGCAAGAACAUUUGUUCAGUUCUUAAAUUUACUGACUAAUCUUGUCCUGAAUCUAAUGAAAUUUGAGAAAACUGUAUCACGAGCAAGUAUGAUAUAGUGCCAACACUGAGAGCUGCCCUUCCUACAUGUCUGGUUCAAUAACAUCCACUGGAUCAAAGAUAUUUCUUUACCUGUUAGCACAGGCACUCAUAACCAGAAUAUACACAGUUUUUGCCACCCUCAUCUCCCUCCAGCUCUCCUUUCCAGUUGAAAGAUCAGUAUUUCUUCCCACCACACACACCAAGAAUACUGAUACAGCCUUUCAAAGCACAGCUCAGCUUGGGAAAGUUUGGAAAGAGAAGAUGCUGCAUUUCUCAGUAAUGUUCAAGAAUAUUGUUGUCGUGCCUUGUCGCUUCCUUGAGAACUGAACAUUCGUUCCUUUAUGCUAGCUCUGCUCUUUUGUGUAGCACCAGAGGAAAGCUAAAGUAGGCUUAUUCCUGCCUCCCCUUGCAGCAUGCUGUCUCUUCUCAGCCCUGAUCAGGGACAGGCCUUGCUUUUUAGGAGAACUCAGCUGUGUCAAGAGGAAAGGUGGUGGUCCUGCAUGUCCUACAAAUCAACACAGAGGCUGGAUUUCAACCUUGAGCAGCUGUCCUUUACAUGUUGGAAAAGUUAUUUGUUAUAUCUCCAAAAAAGAAGAGACUUACUGUUUUUCACAUUUUCAAAGAAGAUGUUUUUAUUAUUUUUGAACAACAAUACAUGUUGUUUUCAAAUUAUACUUUUCCCUCAGCAAAAGUGAAAGCCACCUAGCUGGUUGUUUUUGGAGUCAAGAUCUCUAAUGCUUUGCCAAUACAGUGUAUUGUUGGUCCUCUACUAGAAGACCCGUCAGUGUAGACAUAGCUUCAAACUUCAGAUGACUGAAUAUUUCUUUCAGACUUAUUUUAGGUCACAUACUGUUUAAUGUUUUGCCAAGUUCCCGUCUGCAAGAAUCAUGUACUUGUAAUUUUAAACUUUCAUUACAAAAAAAAAGUAUUUAGAUACUGUUAUUGUAGACAAAGACUUGGAAAUAUGGCCUCAGCAAACCCUAGAACCAGAGAAGUCAAAUAAAACAUCCCUAUUCAAGUAAUCUAAAUUUCACACCAUUUAAGGCAAUCUAGUGAUUUCUUUGAAAGUCAGACUUUCAAACUUUAGGAUACUUUUAUUGACAAUGUUAGUCAUAUUCUAGACUUUAUGAUUUGGACCCAACUUGGCAUGCAAUGCAUGUUCAAAAAUUCUGUUUUUGUAAUGCUCCUUGAACAUGCUGUUCUGCUGCUUUAAGUUGCUAUGUCUAGGAAAAUCAUUUCAAAGCUUUUAUCAGCUUAAAAAAUGGUGCUGUUAUCUUUUUUUCUUUGUAUGACAAUCCCAAGAUUAUAUCCCUACACAGCAAGGAUACAUUAUAUAUAAAGUGUAGUAUCUUCUAUAGCAUUCUUGUUGUCACUUAGCUUUGAACUAACUGUAAUGUAACCCUAACUUUGAAAUGUGAAUUUCAAAGUUAUUUGAAAUCAAUACAUCAAUAUUUGAGUGGUGGAGCAUAUCAUCUUAUUUUACCCACCUUCUUCCUCUCUCUUAUCUUCUGUUACAGUAGAGAGCAAAACCUGUAUCUGGCUCCACUGUACAGCCUGCAGGUGACACAAGCUGAUGCAUGACACAAGCUUUUCUAAUUAGCUAAAAUUUGCAUGUUGGGAUUUGAUUUUCAUUGGACUGUAAUUUUUUGAAGAGUUUUAGUUUUUUCCUAACAAACUAUCCUUAACAGACAAGGUAUUUGAUUCAAAUGUUUUCUUUCUUAUCCCUUUCAACAAUUUUUUCUUGGUCGAUACCUGUACUGAAAUGGACAAAUUGGAGCAAGGUUGAGGGCAGUUAAUGGGUGCAGUUAUUGUAUAGGUUUUUAAAAAUCUGUUUCAUGAAGCAUGUGUUUUGAUUACAAAUACAAGACCCAUUACAAUAUGUCAUAUUACUGAAAAGUUUUCAAAUUUUUUCCCUUUCAACAGUCUUGAAUUCAAGCUGGAAAAUAAAAAUUUAUCUGAAAUUUCUUUAUUGCUGUUAAAAAUUUUAUUCUUUUCCUACAUGGCAUCUCAUUUUCUGUUUGUCUAAAAAUCAUGGGAUCUUUUAUAAAUAGGCUUUAACAUGAAGUAAAUUAGCUGCUAGUUAUUUUAAUAAUUUUUGUGUGAUGUAUGACAUAUAUACUAAUAGUGAGUCUAUUGAAUCAUCACUUAAUUGUGAUAAUUUAUACCUAUGACAUUCCUCACUGGCUUGCAGAAGUAUCUGGAUAGCAUGGAAGCCGUAUAAUACUGAUUCUAAAAUACAGCUUCCCAAGUAACAAAAUCAGAUAAAGGAAAAUGAAGUAUUAAAAAUUGUUACUCCAUACCAACAGGUAUUUUAUGUUCUCAAAUUCAUGUGUAGCUUUUUAUUGAGGGCUAAUAGAAAGAUGAGAUGCCUUCUGUUUCUGCUAAUGGCUACAGAAACUUUUGCUCAGUUCAAAGAACUCAGUUUUUGGAGCUAAAGAUAAAGAUUCUCACUUGUGCAUGACUUUUUGAAGUAAUUUUAUCUUUCCUGCGUGAUUUGCUUUGUGAGCAAAAUACACCUUUUGGCUCAGGGCAUGAAAAUAGAGACGCUUCUAUUAAUUACAAAGAAAAAGACAAUAUUACUUUGGACCUUCCAUCCAAUCUUCCGUCCUUACAUAGGAAGGAUAUUUGCUGCAUUGUUUGUUGGUCUACACGUUGCUUUGUAACAAGAUAUGUGUGUCAGCUGAAGUGUGUUAUCUUUUUCUGUGUGAUUUUGGCUAGUGUAAUAAAAUAGUAGAAUACCUACUGUGGUGGCAAGUCAGAGUGCAUAAAGCAUUCGUGUGUUUUGCUGAUGUCAAUGGGGAUGUUUUGUGUGUCACCUGAAUGGAUUCCAGAAUUGUCUCACAGAGUAAGAAAGAAAUUUGUUGCAGAUUAUGUACACAAAAAACCUGAGCUCGCCUAGGAUAAGAACCUCUGUGUCAACAGUUGCUUCUGAUAGGUGAAAUAGUCCCUUUGAAAGCUCCUACACUCUUUGAAAUAAUUUUAGUUAGCAAUAAAAUAGCUGGCAGUAACUGUCAGCAUAUAAAAACGUGCUUCAGGUCACUUUAUUUCCAUGAAUGAUGUUACUCAGAAAAAGCCUGUUCUGGACAUCAUUCCUAAAAUGCUAUUGAUAAGUGUAAGAAAAGUUUUAUCACUGCCUGGCAUUAGAAAUGCAAGGUCUCAUUCUUGUUGGUUGAAUGUGCAGCAUUAAUAAUUUCAGUUCAUUGCAUAUUUUCAGGGGAUCACGUUCCUCAUCUUAAUCAGUGUCAAGUUUCUAUAGCAACUAGCAUUUAUGAGUGCUAGACAAUAAUGUAUGCUGCUAUCACUGUUAGCCACUAAGAGUAACAGAGAAAAUGUCUGAAAAUAUGUGUCCAAGUAUUUUCAUAUGCUGAUUCUUCCAUCUCUUAAAGAGCACUUCAUGGAAUAAGAACUGUGGAUAGCCUUAUAUAUUAAUGUAUAUUCAUUUAGCUAAACAUCAAAUAAUGUAAUUAUUUAAUUCCUUAAAUUAGUUGAAGGUUUUUCCAAAACACUGAGCAAAGAAGGAAACAAUAAGCACAGUCAUUUAUGGGUUUCAGCCUUUGAUCAGUGUGUAUACAGCAUAGCCAAUAUAAUUUCAUGUGUUCAUACAGAUGUGAAAAACUUGAUGAAGCCUUCUGGCUUUAAUCACUCAUGUAGUCUAGUGAGAAAGAGAUGGAAGCAGCAGAAAGAUGCAGAGACCAGUAUAAAACACAGGACCCUGGUGCACUGAAAUGUUUGGAGGAAGAUGCUGUGAGCAUGCACACAUUUUAGAAGCUUAGAAUGAUAAAGCCAUUGGGAGUUUUUCAUGUGCAGGUUUGGUCUGUAAUCUGUGACACAAAGAAAUGUUAGGAUGAACAGUUUUUGUGAAAGGCAUAUACAUAAAAAUGAUAUUUUACACUAGCACACCUUCCUAAAAGUAUCCAAACCUGGAAAGCUGAAAUAAAGAAUAGAAUGAAUAUUUUAUUAGUUCAUAUAUUAUUAUCAAUAUGACUUAAAACUAUUUAAGAGCUGAAAUAUGACUAUUUCCUUGAUUCCAUGAGUAUUAAAGGGCCACUGUCAUUUUCCAUGUGUGUGUGUCCUGGUAAAGUCCAGUGAGGCAGAUGGAAUUUUUUCUUUUGGUUUGAAUAGACCAUCACAUCUUUAUGACACUUUUUUUUUUUUUUUUUUUUUUUUUUAACUUUAGCACUGAAGUGCUACAUACUGUGGGGGCGGCAGAUACAAUCUGUAAGCACAUGGUGAAUAAUUAGUGAGGAAGAAACAGCACCUUACUUUGUCUAAUUCAUUUACUUAUGGUAACAAGCAAAUCUCUAUUUCUGCCCCAAGAUCCUUGUGACCAUUAUAAAGAUUGUAAUGAGACUGUAAUUCACUGGCAAUUAAGGAUGAACCCCUGAUUUUCUGUAGAGCUGUCAUAUUGCUCGUGCUGUUAGAUAUGUGCGUGGAUAUAUAUUUGUAUAAGUCUGUGCUUUGUAAAUCUCCUUCCUGUGACCUUGUCCUAUUCCUUUGGGCACCUCUUCCAAUAAAUUUCUUUUUGAGUGAUUUUAUGCAGAAGAAUGCAUUUAUGAAGAAAUACCUUGCUGCACACCUCAGAACUAAAAUAUCAACAUUUCUGCAAGACAUGCAUGCAAUUGCAUUUAUGACUUUGUUCAUCACUGGUGUUGCUGCAUGGGCUGGGAAAAUUAAACAGGGUUCAGCUGGAUCCACAAAGCCGCACUCAUGAGUGGAGUUGGAGGGAAAACUGGGAUUUAUCUGUCAUCCCUGCUUCUCCCUAAACAUGUGGACUUCAGAGGAUUUGGAGAGAAAGGAGGGAAAACCUGAAUGGAGGAGCAAGUUGGAACUGGAGCCUGCUGUAACAGCUGUGGGAGAUCUGCUUUGCAGUAAGAUGAUUUUAGACUCAGCCAUCUACAUUUCUCUUAUCAUGGACUUCAGCAGAUGUAGUCAAGAUACAAAAAUAUGCGAUCAUGGUAGAAGGAUAGCCUAAGGAACUGAAGAAAGAGCUGCCAUCUGGAACAAGUACAAUCUUUCAGUCUGCAGUGCAUCAGUACUUCAUGCAGCUUCUUCACGAAUCAAAGUAUGUCAAAGCUCAGUGCACCUUAAAGCACCCUCAGAGUGUGGUGACACCUGGAAACAGAAGCAAUACAAAGCAGCAGCAACAAUCUAUUACAUU